GACGAACGCUGGCGGCGUGCUUAACACAUGCAAGUCGAGCGGUAAGGCCCUUUCGGGGGUACACGAGCGGCGAACGGGUGAGUAACACGUGGGUGACCUGCCCUCAGCUCUGGGAUAAGCCUGGGAAACUGGGUCUAAUACCGGAUAUGACUCCAUGACGCAUGUUGUGGGGUGGAAAGCCUUGUGCGGCUGAGGAUGGGCCCGCGGCCUAUCAGCUUGUUGGUGGGGUGAUGGCCUACCAAGGCGACGACGGGUAGCCGGCCUGAGAGGGCGACCGGCCACACUGGGACUGAGACACGGCCCAGACUCCUACGGGAGGCAGCAGUGGGGAAUCUUGCGCAAUGGGGGAAACCCUGAUCCAGCCAUGCCGCGUGUGUGAAGAA
rnacentral:rRNA from 1 species